AAGACCUUACUUCAUAGGAUCAUUUCUAUAGUAAGCUCAUUUCGAAAAUUUCACACUACGUGAAUGAUCGACUAUCAUUAUUAUUAUGUGUGUUAAGGUUUCUUCGCUGA
rfam:Bombyx mori DNA, contig: Bm_scaf63_contig29610, strain: p50T/Dazao, build 2, whole genome shotgun sequence.